CUAUCUGCAGUCGAGCGAAGAGAUGGGAGCUUGCUCCCUGAUCUUAGCGGCGGACGGGUGAGUAACACGUGGGCAACCUGCCCUGCAGACUGGGAUAACUCCGGGAAACCGGAGCUAAUACCGGGUAAUACAUCGCACCGCAUGGUGCAAUGUUGAAAGUUGGCUUUCUGAGCUAACACUGCAGGAUGGGCCCGCGGCGCAUUACCUAGUUGGUAAGGUAAUGGCUUACCAAGGCGACAAUGCGUAGCCAACCUGAAAGGGUGAUCGGCCACACUGGGACUGAAACACGGCCCAAACUCCUACGGGAGGCAGCAGUAGGGAAUCUUCCGCAAUGGACAAAAGUCUGACGGACCACCGCCGCGUGAGUGACAAAGGCCUUCGGGUCGUAAAGCUCUGUUGUUAGGGAAAAACAAGUACCGUUCGAAUAGGGCGGUACCUUGACGGUACCUAACCAAAAAGCCACGGUUAACUACGUGCCAGCAGCCGCGGUAAUACGUAGGUGGCAAGCGUUGUCCGGAAUUAUUGGGCGUAAAGCGCGCGCAGGCGGUCUUUUAAGUCUGAUGUGAAAGCCCACGGUUCACCCGUGAAGGGUCAUUGGAAACUGGAGGACUUGAGUGCAAAAAAGGAGAGUGGAAUUCCACGUGUAGCGGUGAAAUGCGUAGAUAUGUGGAGGAACACCAGUGGCGAAGGCGGCUCUCUGGUCUGUAACUGACGCUGAGGCGCGAAAGCGUGGGGAGCAAACAGGAUUAGAUACCCUUGGUAGUCCACGCCGUAAACGAUGAGUGCUAGGUGUUGGGGGGUUCCACCCUUCAGUGCUGAAGGUUAACACAUUAAGCACUCCGCCUGGGGGAGUACGACCGCAAGGUUGAACUCAAGGAAUUGACGGGGGCCCGCCACAGCAGUGGAGCAUGGUGGUUUAAUCGAGCACGCGAGACUAACAAGUCUGACAUCUCUGAACAUCUGGAGACAGAACGUCCCUCGGGGACAGAGUGACAGUGUGCAUGUGUCGUCAGCCCUGUUCUGAAUGUGGGUAGUCCGCACGAGGCCAACCUUGAUCUAGUGCAGCAUCAGUUGGGUAACCCUAGGUUACUGCGUCUACAAACCGU
rnacentral:rRNA from 1 species